rnacentral:snRNA from 1 species
AUCGCUUCUCGGCCUUUUGGCUAAGAUCAAGUGUGUAGUAUUUAUCAGUUUAAUAUCUGAUACGUCCUCUAUCCGAGGACAAUAUAUUAAAUGGAUUUUGGAGGGAGAUGGAAUAUAGAGCUGCUCCGUCCACUCCACGCAUCGACCUGGCAGUACCAGGAACGGUGCACCUCCG